rnacentral:rRNA from 1 species
GAACCUGCGGAAGGAUCAUUACCGAGUUUUCGAGCUCCGGCUCGACUCUCCCACCCUUUGUGAACGUACCUCUGUUGCUUUGGCGGCUCCGGCCGCCAAAGGACCUUCAAACUCCAGUCAGUAAACGCAGACGUCUGAUAAACAAGUUAAUAAACUAAAACUUUCAACAACGGAUCUCUUGGUUCUGGCAUCGAUGAAGAACGCAGCGAAAUGCGAUAAGUAAUGUGAAUUGCAGAAUUCAGUGAAUCAUCGAAUCUUUGAACGCACAUUGCGCCCCUUGGUAUUCCGGGGGGCAUGCCUGUUCGAGCGUCAUUACAACCCUCAAGCUCUGCUUGGAAUUGGGCACCGUCCUCACUGCGGACGCGCCUCAAAGACCUCGGCGGUGGCUGUUCAGCCCUCAAGCGUAGUAGAAUACACCUCGCUUUGGAGCGGUUGGCGUCGCCCGCCGGACGAACCUUCUGAACUUUUCUCAAGGUUGACCUCGGAUCAGGUAGGGAUACCCGCUGAACUUAAGCAUAUCAAUAG